rnacentral:tRNA from 2 species
GCUCCCUUAGCUCAAUGGAUAGAGUGUCGGUUUCCGGAACCGCAGAUGUGCGUUCGAUUCGCACAGGGAGCA